CUACGGGGUGCUGCAGUGGGGAAUUUUGCGCAAUGGGGGAAACCCUGACGCAGCAAUACCGCGUGAGUGAAGAAGGCCUUUGGGUCGUAAAGCUCUUUUCUUGGGGAAGAUAGUGACGGUACCCAAGGAAUAAGCACCGGCUAACUCCGUGCCAGCAGCCGCGGUAAUACGGAGGGUGCAAGCGUUGUUCGGAUUUACUGGGCGUAAAGGGCACGUAGGCGGCACAGCAAGUUAAGGGUGAAAUCCCGGGGCUCAACUCCGGAACUGCUCUUAAAACUGCUGAGCUAGAGAUAGGCAGAGGCGGGUGGAAUUCCAGGUGUAGAGGUGAAAUUCGUAGAUAUCUGGAGGAGCACCGGUGGCGAAGGCGGCCCGCUGGGGCUAUUCUGACGCUAAGGUGCGAAAGCGUGGGGAGCAAACGGGAUUAGAUACCCCCGUAGUC
rnacentral:rRNA from 1 species